AUGGCUUUAACUGAACACUAGAAGUUACACUGUAGCUAUCGGUUUCAAGCAGAGGCCCGAAGAGCUAUCUCUUCCUGUGGAUUGCAGCUAUUCUGGAACCUCAGUAGAGAAUGACUAUUUUGUUUGGAAGAAACAACU
rnacentral:snoRNA from 1 species